rnacentral:rRNA from 1 species
GACGAACGCUGGCGGCGUGCUUAACACAUGCAAGUCGAACGGCAAGGCCCUGCUUUUGUGGGGUGCUCGAGUGGCGAACGGGUGAGUAACACGUGAGUAACCUGCCCUUGACUUUGGGAUAACUUCAGGAAACUGGGGCUAAUACCGGAUAGGAGCUCCUGCUGCAUGGUGGGGGUUGGAAAGUUUCGGCGGUUGGGGAUGGACUCGCGGCUUAUCAGCUUGUUGGUGGGGUAGUGGCUUACCAAGGCUUUGACGGGUAGCCGGCCUGAGAGGGUGACCGGCCACAUUGGGACUGAGAUACGGCCCAGACUCCUACGGGAGGCAGCAGGGGGGAAUAUUGCACAAUGGGCGGAAGCCUGAGGCAGCAACGCCGCGGGCGGGAUGACGGCCUUCGGGUUGUAAACCGCUUUCGCCUGUGACGAAGCGUGAGUGACGGUAAUGGGUAAAGAAGCACCGGCUAACUACGUG